GAUCACUUUAUGCAAAGAAAAAAUGCUGAACCGUAGAAAAGAUGAAAGCCUUUUGACUCAAGACUGUAUCAUCACACUUUGCAUCAAUUAAAGCAACAAGGCCAUUUUUUGAAUUGCUUGCUUUGGGUUGUACUUAUCUUUUAUCAAGCAUAACUUCUUCCAGUUAGAUAACUGUAAGAUUUAUUUAAGCAAAUAAAUGAUGUUGAACCAAAUGACAAA
rnacentral:misc_RNA from 1 species